UACGUAGGGUGCAAGCGUUGUCCGGAAUUAUUGGGCGUAAAGAGCUCGUAGGCGGUUCGUCGCGUCGGCUGUGAAAAACCCGGGGCUCAACCCCGGGCCUGCAGUCGAUACGGGCAGACUAGAGUGCGGUAGGGGAGACUGGAAUUCCUGGUGUAGCGGUGAAAUGCGCAGAUAUCAGGAGGAACACCGGUGGCGAAGGCGGGUCUCUGGGCCGUAACUGACGCUGAGGAGCGAAAGCGUGGGGAGCGAACAGG
rnacentral:rRNA from 1 species